AAAUUAUUUUAUUUUUGUCAUUUGUCAGCACUAACAGGUUGGAGGAGAGACGUCUGUCAGAGCUGACACAGAGUCUCUGAAGGGAUUCUGCAAAAAGAACAAGUCUUUGUGGAGGUACUGGGUCACAUUUUUCAAAGCCUGUCUCACACCCCAUUGGAAGAGCACCCCCAGGGAGGGAGAGGUUCCUGCAGAGUGCUUCACAGCAGGAGGGAAGCAGGAACACCCCCCUCUGUCCUCCAGAGUUUUGGGAGCCCCGGCAUCAGUGAGGCGGGGGACACCCCCGGACUGAAAGUUUCCAUGGCCUGGAUCGUCAAAGUCCCGCAUUUCUGGUUCUAAAGCCAAGAAGAACCGCAGAGCUAUCUAAGGAGGUCUGGUGUCUUCACUUGUGACGGACAUGAGGGCUGGGCAGGGAGAAUGAGUGCGAGGCAGAGUCCAAACUGGAGUCCAGGCCCCACUGCCCCAUGGUCAGUCUC
rnacentral:lncRNA from 1 species